GUCAUUCAGACGGUCAGUAGAAGUGCUUCCUAGUUCACUGGUGUGCUGCACCUAUGCUGAGUGUCUCCACACUCUGCAUGGAGACACCAAAUGUCCCACAUAGAGAUGUAUUGAUUCAAUGCAUCUCUAUGAGGAGAUGCUGAUUAGCGCAGCACAGCGUUUUUCCACAUAUGCACAAUAGCUUCCCAAUGCAUUCUUGAUCUCAGCUAAAGUGAAGAACAUACUCAUAGGACAAGAUAACAUAAUUUUUAUAGCUGUGCAACACCAUAAUUCACCAUUUCAGUCUCAUUACCAAACUUUUCUUAAUAUUUCAAAUUAGUUCGUAUGAAACAUCGACUAUAUGCAUGAUUCUCU